GAUGAACGCUGGCGGCGUGCCUAAUACAUGCAAGUAGAACGCUGAAGGAGGAGCUUGCUCUUCUGGAUGAGUUGCGAACGGGUGAGUAACGCGUAGGUAACCUGCCUGGUAGCGGGGGAUAACUAUUGGAAACGAUAGCUAAUACCGCAUGACAACAGUUAUUGCAUGAUAACUGUUUAAAAGGGGCAACUGCUCCACUACCAGAUGGACCUGCGUUGUAUUAGCUAGUUGGUGAGGUAACGGCUCACCAAGGCGACGAUACAUAGCCGACCUGAGAGGGUGAUCGGCCACACUGGGACUGAGACACGGCCCAGACUCCUACGGGAGGCAGCAGUGGGGAAUCUUCGGCAAUGGACGGAAGUCUGACCGAGCAACGCCGCGUGAGUGAAGAAGGUUUUCGGAUCGUAAAGCUCUGUUGUAAGAGAAGAAUGAGUGUGAGAGUGGAAAGUUCACACUGUGACGGUAUCUUACCAGAAAGGGACGGCUAACUACGUG
rnacentral:rRNA from 1 species